rnacentral:rRNA from 1 species
AACGAACGCUGGCGGCAUGCCUAACACAUGCAAGUCGAACGAGACCUUCGGGUCUAGUGGCGCACGGGUGCGUAACGCGUGGGAAUCUGCCCUUGGGUUCGGGAUAACAGUUGGAAACGACUGCUAAUACCGGAUGAUGACUUCGGUCCAAAGAUUUAUCGCCCAGGGAUGAGCCCGCGUCGGAUUAGCUAGUUGGUGAGGUAAGAGCUCACCAAGGCGACGAUCCGUAGCUGGUCUGAGAGGAUGAUCAGCCACACUGGGACUGAGACACGGCCCAGACUCCUACGGGAGGCAGCAGUGGGGAAUAUUGGACAAUGGGCGAAAGCCUGAUCCAGCAAUGCCGCGUGAGUGAUGAAGGCCUUAGGGCUGUAAAGCUCUUUUACCCGGGAUGAUAAUGACAGUACCGGGAGAAUAAGCCCCGGCUAACUCCGUG